GCAUAUCAAUAAGCGGAGGAAAAGAAACCAACAGGGAUUGCCUCAGUAACGGCGAGUGAAGCGGCAACAGCUCAAAUUUGAAAUCUGGCCCCCAGGGUCCGAGUUGUAAUUUGUAGAGGAUGCUUUUGGUGAGGUGCCUUCCGAGUUCCCUGGAACGGGACGCCAUAGAGGGUGAGAGCCCCGUCUGGUCGGACACCGAGCCUCUGUAAAGCUCCUUCGACGAGUCGAGUAGUUUGGGAAUGCUGCUCUAAAUGGGAGGUAUAUGUCUUCUAAAGCUAAAUAUUGGCCAGAGACCGAUAGCGCACAAGUAGAGUGAUCGAAAGAUGAAAAGCACUUUGAAAAGAGGGUUAAAAAGUACGUGAAAUUGUUGAAAGGGAAGCGCUCAUGACCAGACUUGGGCUUGGCGAAUCAUCCAGCGUUCUCGCUGGUGCACUUCGCCUCGUUCAGGCCAGCAUCAGUUUGUCCCGGGGGAUAAAAGCUUCGGGAACGUGGCUGCUUCGGCAGUGUUAUAGCCCGCUGCACAAUACCCUGGGGUGGACUGAGGUUCGCGCUCCGCAAGGAUGCUGGCGUAAUGGUCAUCAGCGACCCGUCUUGAAACACGGACCAAGGAGUCGUCUUCGUAUGCGAGUGUUCGGGUGUCAAACCCCUACGCGUAAUGAAAGUGAACGCAGGUGAGAGCUUCGGCGCAUCAUCGACCGAUCCUGAUGUUCUCGGAUGGAUUUGAGUAAGAGCAUACGGGGCCGGACCCGAAAGAAGGUGAACUAUGCCUGUAUAGGGUGAAGCCAGAGGAAACUCUGGUGGAGGCUCGCAGCGGUUCUGACGUGCAAAUCGAUCGUCAAAUAUGGGCAUGGGGGCGAAAGACUAAUCG
rnacentral:rRNA from 1 species